rnacentral:rRNA from 1 species
UACAGAGGGUGCGAGCGUUUGUUCGGAAUUAUUGGGCGUAAAGCGCUUGUAGGCGGCUUGUUAAGUCCUGUGUGAAAAGCCCCUAGGCUUAACCUAGGGAAGUGCGUAGGAAACUGGCGAGCUUGAGUGCCGGAGAGGGUUGCGGAAUUCCCGGUGUAGAGGUGAAAAUUUCGUAGAUAUCGGGGAGGAACACCGGUGGCGAAGGCGGCGACCUGGGUCGACACUGACGCUGAGGCGCGAAAGCGUGGGGAGCAAACAGG